rnacentral:misc_RNA from 1 species
GAUGAAGAACGUAGCGAAAUGCGAUAAGUAAUGUGAAUUGCAGAAUUCAGUGAAUCAUCGAAUCUUUGAACGCACAUUGCGCCCCUUGGUAUUCCGGGGGGCAUGCCUGUUCGAGCGUCAUUUCAACCCUCAAGCUCAGCUUGGUGUUGGGCCCCGCCGCCCCGGCGGGCCCUAAAGUCAGUGGCGGUGCCGUCCGGCUCCGAGCGUAGUAAUUCUUCUCGCUCUGGAGGUCCGGUCGUGUGCUCGCCAGCAACCCCCAAUUUUUUUCAGGUUGACCUCGGAUCAGGUAGGGAUACCCGCUGAACUUAAGCAUAUCAAUAAGCGGAGGA